rnacentral:SRP_RNA from 1 species
GCCGGGGAGUUAGCGGUGCCCUGUACCUGCAAUCCGCUAUAGCAGGGGUGAUGUUCCAUCCCGGGUAUUCAACUGUGAUGCUGCCCGUUGUAAGUGGCGAUGACGUUUGGGUCUUGCGCAACAGGACUUCAUGAACCGUGUCAGGUCGGGAACGAAGCAGCACUAAGUGGAUAAUCCUGUGUGCCGUAAGGGUGCCUGGACUGAGUUAACUGCAAUGGUAACGGUUGUG